rnacentral:rRNA from 1 species
UACGGAGGGUGCAAGCGUUAAUCGGAAUUACUGGGCGUAAAGCGCACGUAGGUGGUUAUUUAAGUUGGCUGUGAAAGCCCAGGGCUUAACCUUGGAAUGCCAGCCAAGACUGGAUAACUAGAGUACAGUAGAGGGGUGUGGAAUUUCCGGUGUAGCGGUGAAAUGCGUAGAGAUCGGAAGGAACACCAGUGGCGAAGGCGGCACUCUGGACUGAUACUGACACUGAGGAGCGAAAGCGUGGGGAGCAAAC